rnacentral:rRNA from 1 species
UACGGGGGGGGCAAGCGUUGUUCGGAAUUACUGGGCGUAAAGGGCUCGUAGGCGGCCAACUAAGUCAGACGUGAAAUCCCCAGGCUCAACCUGGGAACUGCGUCUGAUACUGGAUGGCUUGAAUCCGGGAGAGGGAUGCAGAAUUCCAGGUGUAGCGGUGAAAUGCGUAGAUAUCAGGAGGAACACCGGUGGCGAAGGCGGGUCUCUGGGCCGAUACUGACGCUGAGGAGCGAAAGCGUGGGGAGCGAACAGG